ensembl:lncRNA
CCCCUGAAGGAGAUCACAGUGAUGGGUGGAUAAUGUGUCUAUCCAUCUCCUAGUCGGCUGAGGCCUCCUCCAACCAAGCUGAGAGAAAGAGAUCAAAUCCCCAAGCCCAAGAGGGAACUCGAUAUGUCUCAAUCUGCACUUCACUCAAAGCCUCUGAGUACCGGCCACUCACUCACUGGUCCUGGUCUAAAGUAACUCAGCAGAAGCGAGUUUCCUGCUAAAAAAUCCCCUCGAAUAUCUCCCAGGGAAGAAAUAUAGCUCCUAUAAUUAAAGGAGGCAACGGCCAGAGGGGGAAUGCAGCCGGCAGCCAAAAAAAAAAUUACUCUCUUCUACUGAUGUGAAGUGACGUCAGCAAGGCCUGUCCUAUCCCCUUGGAGAGAAGGGAGUGAGGAGGAGGGGAUGGAAGGAGGGAGCUGGGAGAAAGAGCUAAAGAAAAAGAGAAAAAGCAAACCGGACGAACAGAGGACCGCAUGGGAAUGAGUCUUCUACACUCGGGGGCCCCAGUUCCACCAACAGUGGGCAAAACAAUGCUUGCGAAGUCGGGGGUUGGUAGAACACCUUUCUCUCCUCUCCCGCGAUCUACAUAUUCUAACAUAUGGAAAGCUUACAGGCCCCGAGCACUUAUAGAAGCCGAUAAUGCAUUAGCUCUCAGCAAUAUUUACAGCACCACUUUUAAUACACACCAGAUGGUUCGCGACUGUGCCGCCCCAGCCAGCUCACUCCUCGAUUUUACUCGGCGGCACUUUGUUGCAAUUACGCUCCAUGCUGAGACCAAUUUUAUUGGUGACCUAUUUUUCAUAUUUUGUAGCAUUUUAUGUUAAAAAAAAAAAAAAAAAAAACCUCCUCUCUGGCCUUUUUGUAAAGGGCAGCGCGCAGGAAGGGAGAGCUUAGGAGGACGGCGGGACUGUCUAGGUGGAUAUUAAUAUUUAUCAUGAUGUUCCAUACCUCGGGUUUAAGUGAGUCAACCGGAUAGACAUAAGUACUCCGGUCAUUAUGUUUGUUCACUCACCCCCCUGUUUGUCAGACGCCCACGGACUGUCUACACGGCGCGCUUGCCUCCGAGUCAAUACAUCCGACCAUAAAUAUUGUAUUCCAUUAAUUAUCACGCCACUGGCUGAUCCCGGGCGCCGGCGUCCUCGAGCGACGCAGGGCAAAUGAGGACGCUUCCUGAACAGAUUUCUAGGCUGGGAACCCCGCGGAAAUUGCCGCAGAGCCUGGGAAUUCCUAGAGCCCGAGCGCCCGGCUCGACUCGGGCUGGGCCCGGACCGGCUGGCGGGGGAGGGAGGCGGCUGCGGAGGCCCGACGCCGCCAGGAGGGCUCAGUACCUGUUAUCUUGCCACGCAGAAGGCCACAGGGAGAAUCCCAUUUGGCACGCCGGGAAAGGCUUUCAACUUUAUCUCCCGUCAUGUAAAUAUCCCCAAGUGCCCGACUGUGAACUUUGUUUUGCACCGAACAAUAUAAAUAUCCUAUUUGCUACCACACAGGUGUGCGCUUCCUAGUCGAACUCUUUUUUUUUUUUUCCCUCCCUCGUUUGUAGUAACUCUAUAUACCCCCCAUCCCCUGGUUUAAA